rnacentral:misc_RNA from 1 species
CAGACCUUUCAUCACUCAUUCGGCGCCAAACAGUAGUCCAUAGUAAAUCCAUAAGAGAAGAAGAAGAGGAAGAAAUGGUAGUAGUAUGCUUCUUGUUGGAUCUAUGCAGCAUAUCGCCUCCAUUGCUUAGAGACCUAAAGCAGGUACGAAUAAAGCUUCUCUCUCUCUUCCUGUUAUCGAACCUAUCCCUUAUAUAGAAGUUCUAGUGACAGUUUCCGUGUUUGGUUGAUCGAUUGAGGGAGUUGUGGAUUUUGGCCAGUGCUUGUUGCAGCUCGCCAAUUUGUAUGCGAUUUCAUCUCUUUCGUCGUCGACGCAUCGAUCCGACUAUCUCAGAGGCAGGAUCGGUUUGUGCUAUGUCUUCAAAAAUCGCAUUUCCUCAUCUCAUGAGGUUAAAAUCGCAUAUAGCCCUAGAGGUAAUUUCAGUCUCCGUGAUUUCCAUCACGCUGUUAACAGCUUGCCUGGAGAUGCCUUUUUGCCUGAAAUCGACGAUUCCCUAGCUCUACGGUCAGGCGAUGUAAAAUUACCAACCGUUUUGAGUGAUCAAGUUCUUUACUCCUGGGGAGACAAAGAUUUUAUGAGGAAAGUGAUUGUUUUGAGCUCCUGCUUACCUGAGAAAAUAGACUCUGCCAUGAA